CUAUUUAUAUAUAUGUUAGACAUCAAAGGAGACCGUCUCCAUAGAAAUACUUUGUGAAAAUCGGGUCUCAUUCCACCAGCCAAUAGGAGAUCGUUUACGAAGACUCUUUGCCCAAAAACCGAAGCUUUGAGCCAAUGAGAGAGGGCGAUAGAAACGUCGUGUAUAGUGGAUGCCUCUGAUUGGCCAAAGCAAUUCCUUCCCUGACCGUAGAUGGCUCAGUGUAAGUGACUAGUGACAGCUGACAGCCAGGACCGGGACGGUCUCCUCCUUCCUAAACAAGAGCUAAGAACUGACUAUAAUGCGCUUCAAGUUCUACUGCAGCCAUUUCGAUGAUCCAAGUCGUUUCAGUACUACAUCCAUGAAGACGAUUAGCUACAGCUCACAGUUCGCCAGGGUCAAGUAAUUCAAGUUAUCGUAUAAAACAGAAAAACAAGGCGUAGUAUCUCAUUUAUAUAGAGCCAUUGAUAGAUAUUAUAGCAGAGAAUUAAGAAUGUUCCUCAGUAAAGCUCCAUUUUUACGUGGUCUAUUACUACGAACGUAUUUUGAAAUUAAUUGAACUCUGAAGUAAGCGGUUUUUCGAACUAUUUGGCCAAGACUUAUUUUUAUCAGUACCUUUUAUUGUUUGUAAGUCAAUGAGUAAAUUAGGAUAGCGAAUGCAGUCAAUUAAAUACAAUAGCUUAGGUAGUUCUUGUUUGCAAAAUGAACCGGUAGGUUAAGAUAUCAUUAUUACAGCUGAGUCAAGAAAUUGUUAUGAAUGAUGAAAGUAAUAUCUAAAUUAAGAAGCAAAUAAAGUAUUAGGAAACUGAAUAAUCUGUUAAUUUUGGCGUUUGGUUCGUUUGUCAACUUCAGUUUGGUUAUGGAUAAGUUUUUAUUUCUAUAACGAUGCAAUGUGACGCUUUUGAUUCUUAAAAAAAAAUCGUAAAUAUUUGAAGAAAUCUGUUUUAGUGUUUAAAUUGUUAGUGUAGCUACAUCAAACUGACUUUGUGGAUUUACUGAAAACGACAUAGAUGGAAGAUCCAGGGACCGAUUCAACGUCAAAAUGUGAAGUAAAUUGGCGUCGACAGUUGAACUGUGUCUGUCUGUCUCUCUGCGGGCAUUACGGACAACUGAUGACGUCCACGACAACACAUUUCGUAGUCUCGAUUUUCUUAAGACAAUCGUGUGAUUAACUCCUUAUUGGUAACGAAUUAGUAUAUACCACUUUUUUGACCUGAUAAGUGUAUCUAUACAGUGUAACUGUAGAUAUGAAUAAUGAAAGUUAGUAUACUUACUUAUUUGUACAUUAGUCUAAUUCUUGGUAAUGGAGGCCAGUGUAUCAUGAUAAUGAACACUUGAUCUGCUGCAAGAAUUCUCGAAGCCUUUUGGAUGGAGCUGAAGGAGAAAUAGUCUGUCAUUUUAGUCCCCUUUAUUCCAGCCAAAUGUUGGUUUUGUCAAAAGAUUUCUUGAAGAGAAAAAUAGAGCCGAAUAUUGAAUUAAUCUUAAGUGGUAUUGCUUUCGUGAUUUAUGGGUCUAAUUCACGGGUAAGGAAUUAAUGCAAUGAAAAUGUAAUUAGUUGAGAACUUACAAGGUGUAUGUUAGCCAUGUACAGUUAAGUCAGAUUUCUAAGUUUUGUAACUGUUAUUAAGUCAGAUUUCUAAGCGUUUCAAUUGUAUUAGGAGUUUUUUUCAAGUUGAUGUAAUAAGUAAACAUAUUUUUUAACUUCGUUAUAGAUAUCUGGACAAAAUAUUUCCACAACAAAGGACGUAUUGGUAUUGCUGGUAUAAAACUAUCCUAGCUUUUAAAAUAGUACGCCAUGAUCAAAUCUUGACAAUCUGAUUGUUACGACUGUUGGUCAAAAACAUGAGUGAUGCCGUUUACGAGGUAAAACAAGGUCUGUGGGGUAAUAUAACAUUAACAUUCAAGCUUUACAAUUUUGGGAAAAUGCUUUUCAUCAUAUGCAAUCAAUACUGAAAGAUUGCUUCAUUUCAGCAAUUCGCAACUUUUACAUAAAACAUAUUGGCACUAUGGAAUUUUGAAGUUCUAACUCACUUAUUAAGUUUUCUCUGCUAUUCUCAAAUGGUUAUUGGUCAAUUCUAUGUUAUUUUAUUAUAGUAAUUCGUUUGUUUUUUAAAAGAGUACUUUGAGGUUAACUGAGCCAACCAGGGGAGUGUUUGGAUUAUGACAAACUAGAGAGAGGUGGGUCAAUGUUAUUACUGAAAAAUCUUGCCAGAUUAAGGAAAAUGUUGAAAUGGUUUUAGAAAAGUUAUA